CGAGAACCCGACAGAGCCACCACGUUUAUUGUAGUAACGUCAACUGGAUUUCGGCGAGCGAUAUUUCUGCAAAUGUUGUUUCAAUAGGAUGUCUAUUGGAAAGUUCAAGGUCACUGCAGUUCGCGAUUUAUUUCGUGAAGUGAAAAUGCACGAACGAUUAAUUUGUGAAAUGUAGAAAAGA